GAAAAAUAUCACCAGCAAAUUGUUCCUAGAAUUGGGAUAUGCCCCCUGGGGGGGCACUCUUCUUAUAUUUUCUAGUAUGUAAAUAUUGCCUAUUUUACUUUCUGCCUUUUUCUCCUCCUUUAUACUGCAUAUUCAUUUAGUAGUAUAAUAAAAAGCAUUUAUACUUCCUAUUAUCUAUUUAGAUUAAUAGAUAAUACUCUUUGUAAGUGUGAAAAACUUGGACACACAAAACACUUUAUACUGAGUGUGUCUAAGGUAAUUAUAGGAAAAAAAGGAGAAAAUGAUUCAGUCAGAAAAAAUUGUUGGAUAUCAAAGUGUACCCAUUGCAGGAGGUCUGUGGGAGGUGACUGAAUUAAGAAGCAUUUCUUUUAUAUAAUUAUACAUUUGUUUUAUGUGUUUCCUGAAAAAAAAAAAGGCACUGUAGUACAGUGGAUAGAGACCUUGUCUCUAAGAUCUGAGUUCAAGUGAUGUCUCUGAUAUAUACUGACUGUAUUAUUUGGAAAAGUCACUUAAUUUCCCAGUGAAACUCUUAAGGUAGUUAGUUUUAGAGGUGAUGUCUUGUAAUUGAAGGGAGUAUUCUAUAAACAGGAACCAAAUUAUUGCUCCAGUACCAGUAUACUUGCUUUAUUUUUCCUCUGAGAGAUAGAGCACAAUAUGGGAAAGAAAACAGAUAGGAAUAAGCAGGAGAUGUUGGAGCUAGGGAAAAGAAAAGAUACAUUCCUAUUUUUCUGUUUUCUAGAGCUAUUCCUUUGUUUCUCCCAGUUUGGAAUACAUAGUAUUAUCUAUGAAGUCUUAAUGCUCGUGUAUGUACUUUUUAUGUGCAUGUUUGCAUCUGUAUAGACAGACAAUAAUCAUGCACACACAUAAAUUUGAAAAUUCCUGUGGGGAAAUUUCCAUGAUUUUAGUUCAUAAAUCACAGUUUUCUUUGCCCUCUCAUAUUUUGUUAACCAAUUUUUCAAUUGAUUAUUAAAUGCCACAGAUUUCAAAAUUUUAAGGCCUCUUCUGUAGUGAAAUGUUUACUCAAGUUAAAAUUUAAUAAAAAAGCAUCUGAUAACUGGCAUUUAUCCAUAGGAAAACUAUCAUCAAAUAUUUGUCCCAUCAAAGAAAAAAGACUGAC
rnacentral:lncRNA from 1 species